UAGUGACAGACACCUUUACCUGCUGAGUUGUUUUGCCCGCCCCAGACUAAACUUAUAUACUAACACCUCGUCCCAACCAAGAGGGCAUUUCCAUUUCCAUUUCCAUUUUACAGAGCUGUAGUUCACAGCAUUCAAGUGAUUUUCCUGGUUCACUCAGUGAGUUGCUGAAAUGGGAUAGGAACCUAAUUCUAGUCCUCAAAGCCUUCGGACCUCAGCCACUGGGCUGGCUGCCUUCUUAUCUCUGCACCACAGUCACCCCUGAUCUCGUGUCUUCCCCAUGGGGCUAUCAUGAAGCAGGAAGAACAGCUGCCCUCAGUCCUCCUGGGGAGCAGCUGGCAAUCUCCAAAGCUGGGGGAGCCCAGGGAGGGGAGAGAGAACAUCACAGGGUACCAGCAAGGCCUAGUGGGAAGCUCAGAGGAAUCCCUGACACCUCGAAAGGGGAAGGCGUGGAAUGAAGUGGGGCCUUCCAAGAAAGCACCAGCCUUGCCUGGCUCCACAUUUUAUAAUCCAGUCUGCAGACAGUUGGGGGUUGUUUCAGUGGCCCCUCCAUUAGAGUCUCUUUCCUUCUUCUUCCCCCACACCUAAUCCUUAGCACUACCAAAGCCUAGAUGGGGACUCCAUCGUAGAGAAAGUAGAAUUGAGUCUUUGUUUCUCAGAUAUUCUAUCCUAUUUUUGGAUGGACUGCAAGAAACUCCUGAACCAAAACAAGGCCCUUCCUCUUGUUUCCCAGGACCCGCACAUGCUGGGCCUCUGUGUCAUCCCAGCACUGCUGUUCCUGGAAUUCUGAGGAGGCCACUGUGUGACACUGGCUUGCUCCUCUGAACUGGAUGAUGUCACCUUGAUGUUAACAGGGCUCCUUCCUCAUCGUGUCUGUGGUUGACCUUGUCUUCCUCAGACCAUGGCUGCUUUUUCUUCAAAGGGGCAUAUGGUGGAACCAAACAAUCCACGAGAAUGGUCCUGAACACAAGGGUGACAGAGAUACCCAGCUGCUGACACUGAGGAGGGCAGGGAAGCAGAACAUGGGUUGACUGGUUACCCCAGCCAGAGUAGCAGCCAUCUGAGUCACGGACUUUCCCUACACGCAUGCCUGCUCAGUAGAAAAUCACCAGCCCGAGCCCGCUAACCAGCUGCCGGACACGGGUGGAAAUGCUGACCGUUGUUGCCAUUUAACUUUCUCCUGUAUAAAAAUGUGCAAGUUUAA